CUUUUUAAAUACAGGCAUAACAUAAACUCUUGGAUGCAAGUUAUCUGGACCUUCUGAUUUAAAAAUAUCUAACUUUAGUAGGUACAUUUUAACAUCAUUAUUAUAUAUUAAUGGAAUGGAAAGAGUGUUAUCAUAUAAUAUGACUACACUACAUGUUUUUACCCAAAUACAGAACAGAAAUAUUUAUUGAACACUUCUGCCUUUUAUCCAUUAUUAUUUGUAAUUCUAUAAUUGCCAUCUAGCAAUGGACCAAUACCAUAGUUAGGAUUCUUUCUGUUACUAGUCUACUUAAAAAAGCCCUCCUUCUCAUUGUCCUUAAUUCUGCGGGACACAGAUUUCUCCUUGUCUCUGAUGGUUAUGAACUGCCAGGCCUCUUUUUGACUUCCUCUCUCUCCGACUACUUAGUGGCAUUUCUUCUUUGAACCCAGGGUACUGAUGAUUCCUGAACCUGGCUGUCUAGGAAUUCCUCAGCUUCACUAUUUGCCCAUCCAGUCCUAGAAUCUUCUCCUCCAGCAAUCACCAACUUGCACUUCAUGCACAGAAAGUCUCUUCUGACUUUUGCAGGUAAGAAAACAUGGCACAUCUGUUGCAGGUCACCACAACUAUUCCAUCCCUGGCCAUCUUGAAAUCACCUGCAAAGCUGAGCCUGGAAGGAAAGCCUCUCAACUCCCUCUGAAACUGUCUGCUAACUGCCUCUCUUUGUGGCCAGCUGCUGACUGAGACUGAGUUCAUUCAGCUCUUUAGUAACAUCAAUCAAGAAUAGAAAAUUUGGCCACCGUGGCGAGCUGACCAGCACAGGUGACCAUUCAGAGCUCAUCAGCACAGGUGACCAUGGAGUCCCAGAAUCGCAAAAGAGCUCCAGCAUGGACCAAACGGAAGGUUUGGGGUGACACCCACAACUAGCCCUUCAGGUACAACAGUGAAAAGCCAGACAGGUCUGAUGGCCCAUCAGCAAAGACAAUGGACUGUGAAAGAGCUUAGUCUUCCUGUGGAUGCUCCAGACAGCCUAUGAGUAACGAUUGCAAUGAACCUGCUGAAACAUGUGACUGAGCCACCUGGUACUAGAGACCCCUCCCCCUGUUGGAAUGCCAGUGUUUUUCCACUGGAAGACAAAGGGUUCCCACCAUACACAAAAGCUAUAUAAGGUAGGGGAGUGACAUCAUCGUGGUUUUCCUCUGCCUCCCCGGCCAAAGAGACACUGGGGAAACACCUGGAAGCAAGAACUGAACUGAGGGCAGAAGAGUUGAACCCAGGCUGGUAGGGCAUUUAGCUUGUGCGUAAUAAUACCUGAAGUUUCAAGCUGCAGGCCAGUGCAGCUGGCCUUUAAGACUCUCUGUAAUAUGCCUGUGACAAUAUUUAGGGUGAGAAAUGUCUAUUUGUAGCCAAU